rnacentral:rRNA from 1 species
AGUGAACGCUGGCGGUAGGCCUAACACAUGCAAGUCGAACGGAAGCACAGUAAGAGCUUGCUCUUACGGGUGGCGAGUGGCGGACGGGUGAGGAAUACAUCGGAAUCUACUUUUUCGUGGGGGAUAACGUAGGGAAACUUAAGCUAAUACCGCAUACGACCUACGGGUGAAAGCAGGGGAUCUUCGGACCUUGCGCGAUUGAAUGAGCCGAUGUCGGAUUGGCUAGUUGGCGGGGUAAAUGCCCACCAAGGCGGGGAUCCGUUGCUGGUGUGAGUGGCUGGUCGCCCACACUGGAGCGGGAACAGGGUCCAUAGUCCUACGGGAGGCAGCAGUGUGGAACAGUGGACAACGGGCGCAAGCCUGGUCCAGUGAUACCGCGUGUGUUGAAGAGGCGUUCGGGUUGUAAAGCCCGUUUGUUGGGAAAGAAAAGCAGCAGGUUGAGACCCCGCUGUUCUGACGGUACCCAAAGAAUAAGCACCGGCUAACUUCGUG